rnacentral:tRNA from 1 species
GGAAUAGCUCAGUGGUAGAACACAUGCUUAGCAUGCACGAGGUCCUGGGUCCAAUCCCCAGUAUCUCCA